rnacentral:lncRNA from 1 species
AACACGGGUUGAUUAGCAGCAGCUCUUUCUGAGUCAUGACAGCGACUGAAUGAGAUGUGUUCUGAACAUACUGGUUGGAUGUGUGUUUCUGCUAUUUGAAAUGAUCCUGGGAAUCUCUCUGCAGGUUCCAAAAGCUGGAUGAGCGUUCUGAUGAAGGAUUUACGGACCGGCCGGACAGUUUAUGGGGACUCACGUGACGCUCAGAAAAAAGUUGUCAUGACCUCAACACAGCCAGUUCCUCCCUGUCAGCCCCCAGAGGAAGAUGAAGAGGAGGAGACGUUAAAGUUUGGCGGUGGCACCACGUCCUCAGACAUCUCUUCUCCUUACUCUUCUGUCAAGACAGACAGGUCUGAAGAUGCAGAAUUGGAGAAUCUUUCUGCCAUAAGGCAGGUGAGCAGGACUGCAGCAGCCAGCUCAGGGAAGUCCUCUCCGGAUCCCAGAGGUGCUGUGGGAGCCGAUGAAGACGAUGAGGAGGGAUCUUCGUCGCUGAGGCUCCAGGCCCAACACUCCCCUGCUGUGGAUGAAACAGCCUGUGACGGCUCAGUCACCUGUGAGGCAGAACGCAGCUGCAGACACCCACACAUCCUUUGUGGAGGAGCGCAGACUCUGGCUCCUGCUGAUGAUGUGGAGAACAUGUACGAGGAGGUCCAAAUACCUGAGCGGCACAAGUCCAUCAGCUGGAGAUGUGAAGAUCUUUGUGACUCUGGCACGUCCGCUCCACCCGGCAGCAAGAAGGUAAAGUCUCUUUUCUGA